rnacentral:rRNA from 1 species
CGAAAGCCUGACGGAGCAAGACCGCGUGAGGGAGGAAGGCCCUUGGGUUGUAAACCUCUUUUCUCAGGGAAGAAGUCCUGACGGUACCUGAGGAAUCAGCCUCGGCUAACUCCGUGCCAGCAGCCGCGGUAAUACGGAGGAGGCAAGCGUUAUCCGGAAUUAUUGGGCGUAAAGCGUCCGUAGGUGGUUAUUCAAGUCUGCUGUCAAAGCGUGGGGCUUAACUCCAUAGAGGCAGUGGAAACUGGAUGACUUGAGUGCGGUAGGGGUCGAGGGAAUUCCCAGUGUAGCGGUGAAAUGCGUAGAUAUUGGGAAGAACACCAGUGGCGAAAGCGCUCGACUGGGCCUGCACCGACACUGAGGGACGAAAGCUAGGGGAGCG